CAUUUUAAGGUAUGUUCCUAAAGUUACAGAAAGCUCCUACAUACAAUAGCACUUGUGGAUUUUAGAUAUAACAAAUUAUCUCAGUACAAUAAGGCUGAUGGACUCAAAUUGUAAAGUGUGAAGUCAAGUAGUGGUUGGAUAUCAAGCCCAAUUGAUUGGAAGAUGCAUUAUCCAUACAUAUAAGCAAGUGCUUGCUUAUUGUCUGUUAAGAUCCAAGAAUCUAUUGAAGUUAAACCUGUUCAAAUGGUUGUUUGAGAAUCUUUAGUUGCGAGCC
rnacentral:lncRNA from 1 species